UAACUAAAAUCAAAACAACAUUACGCUAAAUACUUCGAGAGACUUUGAUUUAUGGCCAGCGACUGAGGCAAGUUGCAAACGACCUACCAUAUUCUCUGAUUUUGGGAUUGACAGCAUCGCGUAAUAUAAUUUACUGUUUACUGCAGAAGCCAUAUUUCAACGUGAUAUGCAAAUUACGAACGAAGUAGAAUAAAUCAUGUCCGUGAUUUCUGGCCAUG